rnacentral:rRNA from 1 species
AACGAACGCUGGCGGCAUGCCUAACACAUGCAAGUCGAACGAGACCUUCGGGUCUAGUGGCGCACGGGUGCGUAACGCGUGGGAACCUGCCCUUAGGUUCGGAAUAACUCCCCGAAAGGGGUGCUAAUACCGGAUAAUGUCUUCGGACCAAAGAUUUAUCGCCUUUGGAUGGGCCCGCGUUGGAUUAGCUAGUUGGUAGGGUAAAAGCCUACCAAGGCGACGAUCCAUAGCUGGUCUGAGAGGAUGAUCAGCCACACUGGGACUGAGACACGGCCCAGACUCCUACGGGAGGUAGCAGUGGGGAAUAUUGGACAAUGGGCGAAAGCCUGAUCCAGCAAUGCCGCGUGAGUGAUGAAGGCCUUAGGGUUGUAAAGCUCUUUUACCCGGGAUGAUAAUGACAGUACCGGGAGAAUAAGCACCGGCUAACUACGUG